rnacentral:tRNA from 1 species
AUUUAUAUAGUUUAAAUUUAAAACAUUACAUUUUCAUAGUAAAAUUAGAAAAAUCUUAUAAAUA